rnacentral:rRNA from 1 species
GAUGAACGCUGGCGGCGUGCUUAACACAUGCAAGUCGAACGGAAAGGCCCAAGCUUGCUUGGGUACUCGAGUGGCGAACGGGUGAGUAACACGUGGGUGAUCUGCCCUGCACUUCGGGAUAAGCCUGGGAAACUGGGUCUAAUACCGGAUAGGACCACAUUUUGGAUGGUGUGGUGGAAAGUUUUUCGGUGUGGGAUGAGCUCGCGGCCUAUCAGCUUGUUGGUGGGGUAAUGGCCUACCAAGGCGUCGACGGGUAGCCGGCCUGAGAGGGUGUACGGCCACAUUGGGACUGAGAUACGGCCCAGACUCCUACGGGAGGCAGCAGUGGGGAAUAUUGCACAAUGGGCGCAAGCCUGAUGCAGCGACGCCACGUGGGGGAUGACGGCCUUCGGGUUGUAAACUCCUUUCGCUAGGGACGAAGCGUUAUGUGACGGUACCUGGAGAAGAAGCACCGGCUAACUACGUG